rnacentral:rRNA from 1 species
GAUGAACGCUGGCGGCGUGCCUAAUACAUGCGAGUCGAGCGAACAGACGAGGAGCUUGCUCCUCUGACGUUAGCGGCGGACGGGUGAGUAACACGUGGAUAACCUACCUAUAAGACUGGGAUAACUUCGGGAAACCGGAGCUAAUACCGGAUAAUAUAUUGAACCGCAUGGUUCAAUAGUGAAAGACGGUUUUGCUGUCACUUAUAGAUGGAUCCGCGCCGCAUUAGCUAGUUGGUAAGGUAACGGCUUACCAAGGCGACGAUGCGUAGGCGACCUGAGAGGGUGAUCGGCCACACUGGAACUGGGACACGGUCCAGACUCCUACGGGAGGCAGCAGUAGGGAAUCUUCCGCAAUGGGCGAAAGCCUGACGGAGCAACGCCGCGUGAGUGAUGAAGGUCUUCGGAUCGUAAAACUCUGUUAUUAGGGAAGAACAAAUGUGUAAGUAACUAUGCACGUCUUGACGGUACCUAAUCAGAAAGCCACGGCUAACUACGUG